GCCGCGGUUACCGAAGUUCAGGCUGGCCCGGGCUUCGGGGGCUGCAGUGCCAAGGUAAGGCCAGGAGAUGGCAGUGUGGCUCCACCAAAGAGGUGCUUGAGCCGCCAUCUCCGGCCACCGCGACCCUGGGAAGCUCCUAAGAUGUCGACUUGACGCGAGCCUUUCUAGAAUGGGAGCCCCAGAUUUAAGUGGACAACAGUCAUAUAUUAUUGGUGCUACUCAUGCCAGGCUGGAAGCCUUCCUGGGAAGCAUGCAUGCGGUGGGUGCUUGCCUGACCCUCACCGCCCGCGCCUCCUAGGCCCCAUCCCAAGGGCACAGCGCUUUGGGGCUGCAGCUCCAGGCGCGGGUAGACUCCAGGGGUCACCGCCCUCAACCCAGCACAGGCUUCGGGGCAGCGAGACGCGCGGGGAACCUGGCUCAUCGGCAGAUGGACACAAGGACCAACGUCUACAGCCCUCGGACCUGAUGAACCCACAGAGGGAAAGCAGAGGGCGCACACCGUGACCACGGGUUCCCUGGCGGCCUCGGAGGCACCGGAAACCUGCGCGGUGGUUCAGGGCCGGGUUCAGGACCCAGAAAGCCAGCACCGGAGAGAGCCAAGACCCCGGGACUCGGCCGGUUUGAAUACGUGACAAUAAAAUUAGGCUGGUGAAAAUUGGGCGUGAAGCCAUCAUUGGUGAAUGUCUAGAGUAGAUUAGCCGGGAGUUGCUUGGGAAGAGGAAUCUUUUGGAACUGACCAGGAACUAUUUGGUUGUUCUAAAAUAAAUGUGAUGUUUAAAAUAACAAUUAUAAUAUUAUCCAAGCUCCAGAAUUGGCGCGCGCGCACGUCGUGGAAACAUCCUUUACUUUGGCUGCGGUAUUUCCUUGACUUUAGGUGCAGAGAUUACUCUGGCGACCCUGCUGAGCAGGCCAAAAGGAAGGGACCCCAAUCCAUGCUCAGUCUAUCCCUAUGCUAGGUGGGGAACAUGCUUCGAAGCCUCUGCAAAGGCCACCCAUAGCCCGUACUGGAGGAUCAGCCACGGGUGUAGAAUGGUUUCGGAGGGAAAACACAAAAGCAAACCGAAUCCUUCGAAGCACCCCGGAGCCUUGUGAACACGCCGCGCGGUGCAUUUAUUUGGGAUUGUAAUAGUCUCUGCCAAGCCCACAAAAUGUUUACAACCUGCAUCUCCUCGCUGAACAUGCUGUAAAACUGGGAGCUAGGUUUGGGCUGACAUCUCUCCUGGGGGUUUGCCUCACUCGCUUUUUCUCUUUCUCCUUUUUUCCUAUCUAUAUAUACAUGUUAGUAUUAGAGGUUACAUCUUCAUUAUAUUUCUGUAUAAAAUGCAUACUAUUUCACAACAUCCGAUUGUAAGAAGGGUUUUAUAAAGCUUCCCCAGAGUGACCCGUGGCCGUAUAUUGUGUA
rnacentral:lncRNA from 1 species